UUUUUAGUAUACCCUAGUCAUUUUAAAAUGAGUUUUUCUGCUUUGUUUUUAUUUAUUUAUUUUUUAUUUACUGUUUUGAGUCAGGAUGCUUUUCACCUUAAUAACAUAUGUCGAUGUGAUUUUCUACAGAAAAUUGCUGGUGGUAUAUUUAAACUCCUCUGAAACAAGAAAACAUCUAUACAAAUACAUGUUCCUAGUCACCCUGGUUUGCUAAAAAAAGGUUGAACUUGUGCCUUUUUGGCAAAAACAAACAAAAGAAACAAAAAGUGUCCUUGUCCGAAAUGUGUCCUUGUUGCCUUGGGCCAAAUGUUCUUUAGAGUGGCACUGGCAAAGUAUGCACUUGGUCAAUGCUUGUAUUCCUGCUAAUUGUGUCCUAAGAUUUUAAAAGUUGUCAUCCUUGCAUUUACAAUGUUCUAUAUUUUUAGGAACUGUCAGAACCAAUAGACUGACAGCCACGGCCACCGAUCAAGAAAUUGAAACAUUUAUUAAAAAAUGGCUUCAUCUGUCAAGUGACCGAGACGGAGGGAGAAGAGAAAGCAAGAAACGAAGGAGGUCCCAAGACACCUGCUUGCAAGAUUGCCAGAUGGGCCCAGUCAAGGAGGUCGACUUCUUUAAUUUUGGGUGGCUCUGGAUGUGACCAACUGGAAACAUGUUUUGUUUUUUGUUUAGCUCUAAGAUGCUUUAUAUGCACAUAUUUUGUGUUUGUUUAUUAUUACUAUUUUUUUUGAUUGCUUUCCAGUUUUGAAAAUUGAAACUUGCACUUGGUUGUUCUUUGACAAUAUUAAUAAAUAAUGCAAAUGUUUUCA